AGCGGCUUCUAGGUUAGGAGGGAAUUAUUCUGGGCUGUUAACAGGAUAUCUGGCAAAGCCCUGACGCUCUGCAGACAUUUACCAAUCACAUCUGGUCCUUUUCACGUGAGCCUGGGAAACACCGGGACUCCAGCCAGGUUAUCUCCACUCCUGAUUCAGCUGUCGAGCGAGCCGCUCCACGCUGUCAGGUGACAGGUCACGUGACCGCCGAGGGAGGAGGUUGCCCCCGAGCCAUUGGCGGAGGAGGUCCAUCAUUAGGUGGCAUGCCCCCCCCCAGCCCCACCGCUGCUGUUUGGGAGGUGCAGAGAAA